GACGAACCGUGCGAACGUUGUUCGGAAUAACUGGGCUUAAAGGGCGCGUAGGCGGGCUAUCAAGUCUGGGGGUGAAAUCCCGCGGCUCAACCGUGGAACUGCCUCAGAUACUGACGGCCUAGAGGAAGGUAGGGGCAUGCGGAACUAACGGUGGAGCGGUGAAAUGCGUUGAUAUCGUUAGGAACUCCGGUGGCGAAAGCGGCGUGCUGGACCUUUUCUGACGCUGAGGCGCGAAAGCUAGGGGAGCAAACGGG
rnacentral:rRNA from 1 species